GCAUCCGGCAAGAACUUGGAUCUGUGGUCUGUGUGGUACAGCCGUCUCGAAGCUUCACAUCACAGUCUGAGUUCUUGCUCGAUGG
rnacentral:pre_miRNA from 1 species